GCCCCGCCCUCCUCAUCCUCCAAGGACCUGCCUCUCAUUCUGGGCCUCUGGUCACAGGCUCUCCACCUGCAGGACCUCUCCCGCCUCCCUCAGUCUCCACCUGGACACACCCUGCUUUCCAGGGGACCUCAGCUCCAUAUCUAGGUGACUUGGCUUGAUCUAAGUAAGCCCCACCAUUUCUGCUGAGCGGCCUUUGGGAAAGUCACUCAGCCUCUCUGUUCUCUCAUUAGUGGAGUGCUGGGGGCAUUUCUCCUAUUUGUGGCCACCCGCCAACUUGGAACAUCUUUCCAUUUCCAGAGCUUUCCCCUCUUGGCCAUGGGGUGACCUAUGAAUGUAGAGGUCAGCUCUGUAUCCCAGCCCCCGCUGAUCACGGAUCAGACGUCGCCUGUGAGACUUCCGUGAGAAGGAGGCCAUUCCCUCAAGCACCCUCUUGUCUUUUGGUGAACCUGGUGUAGAGACAGCUGAUCUUUGGGGACACCAGUGUCGCACGUUUGCUAAACAUCCCCCCCACGGGGUGCUUGGUGGAUGUCUCUAGCUGUUUGUCAAGCAAACGACGUUUUCUGUCUCCUUGCCCUGAAUUCAGAGAGCUACCUAAUGUUUUUUCAAGAAAAUUCCUUUUCUGUUUAACCAGCCAGAGUGGAUUCUGUUAUUUGCAACUGAGACCCUUGAUGAAUUCAUGAAGACAACAAUAGUCUACUCGGGUCCUUGUGAGACCACGUCUCCCUGAGGCUCGCUGGGGCUCAGGACCAAGCCAGCUCUCUGAGUACCUCUCUGGGAUCUGGGGUGUCCAGCCCUGGUGUGCAGACUGUGCUCCCAGAGCACAUGGCCUCUCCCCUUCCUCUCCCUAAGAAGCCCAGUGCCCCAGGGCACACGGGUCCUGGUCAGUCUGGGUCACGCUCACCUUCCAGAUAAAACCCGGACAUCUGACCCACUGGGGCCAAAGGCUUCCUCGGCCUGCGUCCGGGGUCUGAUGGAGGAGGUGCUGCAGGAGGUGCCUUGGUGGCCGGGCUCCUGCCGCUGGGAGCAGUCCCUGUCCCUGUGGGGGGUUCUGAUCCAGGAGGUCCCUGACAGUUGGUGACUCAGCCAGCCCUUUCAUGUGGCCCCCAUGUCCUCGGGCAGCAAGCUCAGCCAUGGGGGGCCUCGUGGGGACAGGUCUUAGACCCCACUGCCUAGCAGCCCCAGAGCUAAGGCACUGUCCCUUUAGCCUCCUGGCUUCCUGUUCAUGGGCAGGGCAGCGCUGGGCUCCAGGCAUCCUGGGAGGGACCUGCUGGGCACCAGGAGCGUUGGCACAAACCGUGUCCAGUGGCCUUGCCCUUGAGGUGCCUCUUUUCAUUUGCUUGUUAGUCACAGGUCACAUGGAAGAGGACCUUCUUUGUGGUACUCAGGUAGGUCCCCAUACUGGAUGGACAGUGUCACUAAGUGCCACUUGGAUUGUGGUGACUUGUUACAGCAGCCCUAGUGACGAAGACAGUUCCCUUCUCGUUGCUGUGGUUAUGAGCAGCCAAGGGGGCUGGGGCGAGG
rnacentral:lncRNA from 1 species